rnacentral:rRNA from 1 species
GGGGAAUUUUGCGCAAUGGGCGAAAGCCUGACGCAGCGACGCCGCGUGGGUGAUGAAGUUUUUCGGAACGUAAAGCCCUGUCAGGAGGGACGAAGCUCUGACGGUACCUCCAAAGGAAGCCCCGGCUAACUCCGUGCCAGCAGCCGCGGUAAUACGGGGGGGGCUAGCGUUGUUCGGAAUCACUGGGCGUAAAGGGCGCGUAGGCGGCUAGGCAGGUCUGGUGUGACAUCCCUCGGCUUAACUGAGGAAUUGCGCUGGAAACCGCUUGGCUAGAGUACAGGAGAGGAGGGUGGAAUACCCGGUGUAGCGGUGAAAUGCGUAGAUAUUGGGAAGAACACCGGUGGCGAAGGCGGCUCUCUGGGCCGUAACUGACGCUGGGGCGCGAAAGCGUGGGGAGCGAACGG